rnacentral:rRNA from 1 species
GAAUCCAUCCGUCGGUCGGGCUUCACGGUCCGCACUGGUGUGAUGGAUUCCUACCUUCUGAAUAACCAUGAUGUCAUUAAUUUGGUGUUUUGGGGAAUCAGGACUGUUACUUUGAAAAAAUUAGAGUGUUUAAAGCAGGCUCACGCUUGAAUACAUUAGCAUGGAAUAACGAAAUAGGACGUUUGAUUUUAUUUUGUUGGUUUCUAGGAUCGACGUA